CAAAUUUUUCAACGGCGCAACACACAUACUCAGCUUUGCUGUUCAUCCCACAAAUGCAUGUUCCUUACAAUUGUGGGACCGUUUGAAAGGGAACUAAACAGGCUUUCCAACGGUAUAAUAUUUAUUACCAAAAAGGAUUGUUACCACAAAGAAAUAAUCUACCAAACACAAAUUUCCUUACCUUUGUGCUAAGUUUAUUAACACUAAAGGCUUUGCUCACAGA